rnacentral:rRNA from 1 species
GAUGAACGCUGGCGGCGUGCUUAACACAUGCCAGUCGAACGGAAAGGCCCAAGCUUGCUUGGGUACUCGAGUGGCGAACGGGUGAGUAACACGUGGGUGAUCUGCCCUGCACUUCGGGAUAAGCCUGGGAAACUGGGUCUAAUACCGGAUAGGACCACCUUUUGGAUGGUGUGGUGGAAAGUUUUUCGGUGUGGGAUGAGCUCGCGGCCUAUCAGCUUGUUGGUGGGGUAAUGGGCUACCAAGGCGUCGACGGGUAGUCGGCCUGGGAGGGGGUACGGCCACAUUUGGACUGAGAUACGGCCCAGACUCCUACGGGAGGCAGGAGUGGGGAAUAAUGCACAAUGGGCGCGAGCCUGAUGCAGCGACGCCGCGGGGGGGGUGACGGCCUUCGGGUUGGAAACUCCUUUCGCUAGGGACGAAGCGUUAUGUGACGGUACCUGGAGAAGAAGCACCGGCUAACUACGUG